UAAAGAUUCAUCGCUGAUAGAUAGGCAUGCGUUCCAUUAGGCAGUUGGCGGGGUAACGGCCCACCAAACCGACGAUGGAUAGGGGUUCUGAGAGGAAGGUCCCCCACAUUGGUACUGAGACACGGACCAAACUCCUACGGGAGGCAGCAGUGAGGAAUAUUGGUCAAUGGGCGUAAGCCUGAACCAGCCAAGUCGCGUGAGGGAUGAAGGUUCUAUGGAUCGUAAACCUCUUUUAUAAGGGAAUAAAGUGUGGGACGUGUCCUAUUUUGUAUGUACCUUAUGAAUAAGGAUCGGCUAACUCCGUGCCAGCAGCCGCGGUAAUACGGAGGAUCCGAGCGUUAUCCGGAUUUAUUGGGUUUAAAGGGUGCGUAGGCGGCCUUUUAAGUCAGCGGUGAAAGUCUGUGGCUCAACCAUAGAAUUGCCGUUGAAACUGGGGGGCUUGAGUAUGUUUGAGGCAGGCGGAAUGCGUGGUGUAGCGGUGAAAUGCUUAGAUAUCACGCAGAACCCCGAUUGCGAAGGCAGCCUGCCAAGCCAUGACUGACGCUGAUGCACGAAAGCGUGGGGAUCAAACAGGAUUAGAUACCCUGGUAGUCCACGCAGUAA
rnacentral:rRNA from 1 species